rnacentral:rRNA from 1 species
GAUGAACGCUGGCGGCGUGCCUAAUACAUGCAAGUCGAGCGAACAGACGAGGAGCUUGCUCCUCUGACGUUAGCGGCGGACGGGUGAGUAACACGUAGAUAACCUACCUAUAAGACUGGGAUAACUUCGGGAAACCGGAGCUAAUACCGGAUAAUAUAUUGAACCGCAUGGUUCAAUAGUGAAAGACGGUUUUGCUGUCACUUAUAGAUGGAUCUGCGCCGCAUUAGCUAGUUGGUAAGGUAACGGCUUACCAAGGCGACGAUGCGUAGCCGACCUGAGAGGGUGAUCGGCCACACUGGAACUGAGACACGGUCCAGACUCCUACGGGAGGCAGCAGUAGGGAAUCUUCCGCAAUGGGCGAAAGCCUGACGGAGCAACGCCGCGUGAGUGAUGAAGGUCUUCGGAUCGUAAAACUCUGUUAUUAGGGAAGAACAAAUGUGUAAGUAACUAUGCACGUCUUGACGGUACCUAAUCAGAAAGCCACGGCUAACUACGUG